ACUGCAUCAUCUGAGAGACCCAAAAGCUUGACUGGGGCUGACAUCAAGGUGGUGUCUCACAGGCCCUUGCCACUUGGGCCCCCUGUAGGCUAUUUGAGUGUCCUCAGGACAUGGCAGCUAACUUCAUCCAGAGUGAGUGAUCUCAGAACGUAAAGGAAGCCACAGCACCUUUAAUGACCUAGUCUCUAAGCCACACACCAUCACUUUCCUCUUUAUCAGAAAAAUCCUGUGGAUGAGUCGCUAAGUCCAGCCCAUACUCCAGGGGAUGGCAAUUGGGUGCCACCUCCUGAAGGAGCAUUAGAGGAUUUGUGGACCUACAUUGAAACCAGUACAGCACCUCUGGGUGGGAAUGAAAGGUUUUUAAGGGAAAUUCUCCAGUCGGCUCAGGGGGCAAGGUUGGGUGUAGGGCUGUCCACACUGAGGAGCUAAACAUAGGCUGGUUCCUCUCCGGGCUCAUUGUCUCUAUUCUGACAGGACCUGCAGUAUAUCUUCAUCCCCUCAGACAUCCGCGACUACGUGAUGCUGAGAUCGGCCAUUCUGGGCGUGCCUGUCCCUGAGGGCCUAGAUAAAGGGGACAGGGUACCGCGGCUACUCCGGCGCCCUGACCCUCCCCUCCAUCUCCGCCUUGCAAUACGACGGCUCUGGGCGCUCUGUCCACUUCUAUCGUGGGUUCUAGGCCGCACACCUAUUUCGGACCAGAAGCCUCUGCCAGUAAAUUCAAGCUGCUACAUCCGGACUUCGUCAGCUACCUGACAG
rnacentral:sRNA from 1 species